UGGCUUGGUUUGUGGACUUCAUUAGGGAGACACCUCCACAGGUGUUGUUUUACACCAAAUGAGCAUAAAGCGAAGUAAGGAGGAGAAAAUCAUUGUCAAACCACCUUGUUGAAAUGUCGAGAGGUGGAGAGGGAGGCAAAUCCUGAUAUUCUCACCCAGCUGGAGAGUGACCCUGCGUCCAGAGUUCUCGGCUUUAUUGGCGUCCAUUUAUGGUCAACGUGGGGGCGUGUUUCAGAACAUGACCAUUCAGGAGGUAGUGGGAGCAAAGAUCUCAGAGACUGAGAAAUCUUACCUGAUUAAUAUCACAUCUCACAAGACUAACCAUGUGUUUGGGCCAGCACAGCUCACUCUCAGUGAGGAGGAAUAUGAAUGGACACGCCGCUUCCUCCGCAGAAAGAAUGAGCUGCCGGGUGGGAAGGAGGCAAAGUAUUUCUUCUUCACGGCAUCUUUCAAGCCGUGCAAAAACCUUAACAAUCAUUUCCAGGAAGCAUGAAAGUCAAUGGGAGUGUCCCACCUUUACAGAUCUGCAAACCUCAAUUGCUAGCCACGCAAAGUUCACACACAACACUGAGGAUCGGCUUAAGGUAUCAAGAUUUAUGUGCCACAAUGUGAGGACAGCAGACCGAUUCUACAUGGUAAACCUCAACACCAAGCAGGCCAUGGAGGACUGCAGAGUUUUUGAGACUGUGCUCGAGGGGCCAGAGCACGCUAAAGGUACCAAGGCAAAAGGCAAGCGAAAGCACAUAGAACCAAGAAGACAUCUCCCCCGAAAACAUGCUCCAACAAAGGAAUCGCCAGCCGCCUCCCCCAUGACUGCACCACCCCAGAGGGGAUGGCUGUCCAGUACCGGGAGUCUGGUGUCUCAGCCUUAGAGGACAGAGAGGAAGACAAAGAUGAGCCCAGUCCUGCCGGUGCAGAUGACUCAGAGGAGGACACCGGGAAAGCCAAUUCAGACCAACCCCCUUAGAGGAAAAUACCCCAUAAGAAGAGGUAGGCAAUCGGUUGUACUUAAACCCAUCGAGUCAGCCUUAAAUACACGUUUCAAGCCAAACCAAAUAUCACCAAUGAAACUGAAAAAGACUGUCGUCUGCAAGGCCCACACAGAUCUUGGACUGGAUGAACACAAGCAAGCAGACAGAAGAGUCAAGCGUGCGAUUAAGAGACGCCGUUCAAAGCUGUGAACUUUUCAAACUACUUCUUGGACACUAAAUGCAUACCAUAUUCUUGACUUAACACUUUGAACACUUCGUUCCGUGAAGGUUGCUUUACUGGUUCAAUAGUUCUUUUG